UACGUAGGGCGCAAGCGUUGUCCGGGAUUAUUGGGCGUAAAGAGCUCGUAGGCGGCCUGUUGCGUCCGCUGUGAAAUCCCGGGGCUCAACCCCGGGCCUGCAGUGGAUACGGGCAGACUAGAGUGUGGUAGGGGAGACUGGAAUUCCUGGUGUAGCGGUGAAAUGCGCAGAUAUCAGGAGGAACACCGAUGGCGGAGGCAGGUCUCUGGGCCACUACUGACGCUGAGAAGCGAAAGCAUGGGGAGCGAACAGG
rnacentral:rRNA from 1 species